rnacentral:lncRNA from 1 species
CUAAUUUUUUUUCUAAUCGGCAAUGAGAAUAUAUGUGCAAUUUUACUGGCCAAUGAUAGCAUGGAACUAGAAGGGUGGCUACCUCCCAUUUAGAGCAUACUGUAUUCUGAGCGCUUCCUAGCAGUAUGGACCCUGAACACUAGGUUGGUGUAGCAGAGUGGCUAAGAGCAGGUUUUGGCAUCAGGGUGACCCAGGUUCAAGUUCGACGUGUGUGACUUUGGGCAAAUCACUUAGCCUACCUCUUUGAACCUCAGUUUUCUCAUCCAUUUAAUGAGGCAAUACUACUAGUGACCUCAGUAGGUUGUGAUUAGAAUUAAAUAAGAUAAUGCAUAUCAAUUGUUUAAGACAGGCUAGUGCAAUGGCUCACACCUGUAAUCCCAGCACUUUGGGAGGCUGAGGCAGAAGAAUUGCUUGAACCCAGGAGGUGGAGGUUGUAGUAAGCCGAGAUUGCACCACUGCACUCCAUCCUGGGUGACAGCGAGACUGUCUAAAAAAAAUUAAAUACAUUAAAAACAAAAUUUUUUCUGAAUUGUGUUCACAGCCACUGCCACGCCACUGUCACUCUCCAAGGCCAGCGCCACCUCUCACUCGCUGAGCUCCGGAAGGCAAAGAGAAGGGGGGAUUCACGGCUGAGAGCCCAUAAGAAAGAACAGAUAGGCCAGGCGCGGUGGCUCACAUUACAGUGCCUGUAAUCCCAGCACUUUGGGAGACCAAGGUGGGUGGAUCACAAGGUCAAGAGUUCAAGAUCAGCCUGACCAAGAUGGUGAAACCCCAUCUCUACUGAAAAUACAAAAAUUAGCUGGGCACAGUGGCAGGCGCCUGUAAUCCCACCUACUCAGGAAGCUGAGAGAGGAGAAUCGCUUGAACCUGGGUGGCAGAGGUUGCAGUGAGCCGAAAUCACACCACUGCACUCCAGCUUGGGCAACAGAGUGAGACUCUGUCUCAAAAAAAAAAAAAAAGAAAAAGAAAAGAAAAGAAAAGAGAGAAUAUAGAACAGCAGAGAAGCAUAACAAAUCUAUUUAAUACAAAUUUUAUGUGACACAGGUGACUAAGAAAUUAAGACUCUGCCGGGCACAGUGGCUCACGCCUGUAAUCCUAGCACUUUGGGAAGCCAAGGUGGGUGGAUCACCUGAGGUCGGGAGUUCGAGACCAGCCUGGGCAACAAGGUGAAACUCUAUCUCUACUAAAAAUACAAAAAUUAGCCAGGUGUAAAAAUUAGCUGGGUGUGGUGGCCCACACCUGUAAUCCCAGCUACUCAAGAGGCUGAGGCAGGAGAAUUACUUGAACUCGGGAGAUGGAGGUUGCAGUGAGCUGAGACUGCGCUACAGUACUCCAGCCUGGGCAACAGAGCAAGACUCUGUCUCAAAAAAAAAAAGAAAGAAAAAAGAAAUAAGGCAAAUGAAGAAAACAUUGUU